rnacentral:rRNA from 1 species
UGAAACCUCGGGGCUCAACCCCGAAACUGCGUCUGAAACUGCUAGUCUAGAAUAUUGGAGGGGGCAGGGGAAUUUCACGUGUAGGGGUAAAAUCCGUAGAGAUGUGAAGGAACACCGGAGGCGAAGGCGCCUGCCUGGACAAUACUUGACGCUGAGGCGCGAAAGCGUGGGGAGCAAACAGGAUUAGAUACCCUGGUAGCCCACGCCGUAAACGAUGAACACCAGUUAUUGGGGGUAUUGACUCCCUCAGUGACGCAGCUAACGCAUUAAG